rnacentral:misc_RNA from 1 species
ACGAAAAGCAUGUUUGUCUAUGAACGGGGGGCGGUAGCUCACCCGGGAGAGGCAUCCAUCCCAACUUCUCACACCACACCCCCUUUGUGCACGAUCGUGAGCCAUCGCUUGGCCGAUCGCACGUGAAAUCCAUGCGACUGGCCCUGUCAUUGGUCUCGCCUUUCUUUUUAACACGCACCAUAAAGUACAUAUUCUCGUGUUGAUUUACUUCACACGAAACAAAUA